rnacentral:rRNA from 1 species
UGACGACCGGCGCACGGGUGCGUAACGCGUAUAGAACCUACCUUUUACAGAGGAAUAGCCUUUAGAAAUGAAGAUUAAUGCCUCAUGGUAUUGUAGACUGGCAUCAGUUUAUAAUUAAAGAUUUAUCGGUAAAAGAUGGCUAUGCGUCCUAUUAGUUAGUUGGUAAGGUAACGGCUUACCAAGACAGCGAUAGGUAGGGGUCCUGAGAGGGAGAUCCCCCACACUGGUACUGAGACACGGACCAGACUCCUACGGGAGGCAGCAGUGAGGAAUAUUGGACAAUGGAGGAGACUCUGAUCCAGCCAUGCCGCGUGUAGGAAGAAUGCCCUAUGGGUUGUAAACUACUUUUAUACAGGAAGAAACACUGGUAUGUAUACCAGCUUGACGGUACUGUAAGAAUAAGG